ensembl:lncRNA
GGGGAAGUUCCUGCAGAGAGAGCCUCUGGAACUUCAGCUUCCUCUGAGCCUUCAGCACCCAUGUCUCAGCAAGGAGACGACCGCAGUUCCAAUUCCUGCCGUGUGAGUGGCAAGGUAUGGCUGGGCUUCUUCUGCUUGGUGCUUCCGUUUCCUUGUUUUCAAGGGGAAGGGACGGAGCAAGGGGAGCCCUGCUGGUCCUUGGUGACCUCAGUAACCGGUUGGAUUCAGCGCUCACUGCUGACAGCCUGGGCUAACAACGUGGACGUGGCUCAGGCUGUCUUUUCCCAUAGUGAUAAUCAGUGUCUCAGCACUCUGAUAUCCCAUCUGUGGCACGAUCUGGAACCUCUCUGCAAACCUUGGCUGCCCGUUCCCACCACCGUUUCUCCCUUUCUCUCUUCAGAAGUGGCGCGGUGCGGUUCCCCGCGGUUGGGAGCAGCAGCCAGCAGGCUGCCAGAGAUCCAACCGCGCCUUGCAGCGCACAGGGGGACGCAACAGGGACGGGCGGUCCUUCCUGCCAUACAGAAGUGAGUUUCUUCAGCCCUCUGUCGCAAAGUGUGGAGGAAUGAAUUUUGAGUAUUCCUUCUGAGCGGGUGCAGUGCUGUAGGGGAUGUCAAGUAAGCAUCCAUUUGGAGUGCAGGAAGGAGCAGUGCAAAGUGAACUAUCAAUCCGUUUGUGUUUGGGCUGUCAAAGAAGCAUCUUUCUGUUUCCUGGGGGGACGUGGGCUUACUGCAUGAUAUUUCUGCUGCUGCCUGCUGGUGCCUGUGAAAUCAACGUUGUGGAUUUUUUACAAUGUUUCUGUAGGGAUGGAUCCUGCGCGUCCAUGGAGUGGUGCUGGGCAAGGGGGGAAACGGAAAGCCUCCGCAGGUAAGAAGCUCAUGUGAGCUGUGCUAUGGGUAUGCGCCUCUAAAUAGGGCUGCAUGAAGGGCAGUGUGUGCGAUGGAGGGGAGAGGAAAGGGCACUGCACAUCCGUGCUGGGAACCCAACGUUCAGCCAAGAUCCUAAGAUCCCUUACCGUGAGCACUCGAGACAUCCUAGCAUGAUGGCCCAUUCUGCAGAGUGCAAGGACUGCAAGGACUCUCUUUCAAUGUUGUUGCUUCUCCUUUCCCGAUUAUCACAGAGAGAGGUGCCGAGCCCAACGGAAAGAUCUACGCAAAAGCGGUGCAGGAAGUCCUUCUGGAGAGAGCUCAUCUCCAGGCUGGAGGGCUUCCUACAACAGCAGGUCCCAGCACAGGGGGAAGACCUUCCCCUGCCGUGUGCCCCCGCUCUGUCUCCAAGUCCUUGGCUGGAUGUAAACGCAAAGGCUUGGAAGAAGCGAAGCCAACAGCAGUGCAGCUGCCUGCUAACAAAAGAGUGAGGGGGCCGAGCGGAGACAGCGUGCCAGCUCCAGCAGCACACCCUGGGCCUGCUGCAGCGCGGAGCUCCAAGCUAAGAGGUGAGAAGGUGCUGUGGUACCCACCCUGGUGAGCUGCUGCCCUUUUCAAGCACACUGAGUUUGCUCAGGGUUUGCUUUGCUUUUUCCUUCUCUGUGGAGGGGACAAGAGUGGAAGGCUACAAAGUCCAAAGGCAGUGAGGUGCCAGAACACGUAACCCCGUCUCCUUCCAUUAACUCCAUGGUGGUCUUCUGCACAUCCCCCUGGAAAUGUCAUUCACUGGGAGGCUUCCUAGUCCCGUUUCCUCUGUCUUUUUGCUGCCUUCUGCCUGUACGGCACCCCUGUUUCUGCAGUUGCGCUGCUGACAAAACGAUUCAUGUUUAUUCUUGCUUUCUAGCGAGAAGACGCCAAGAGAAAGAGAGGAGAGGGGAAUCGAUGAAGGCUGCCCUCAGAGCUGCCGCUGCACGUGCAGAGGUGAGUCCUUGGUGAAGGCAGACACGGCUCUGGUUGUUCUCAGGGCCUCCGUCUGUCAGACCUGCACUCACAGCUCGAGGACAAAAUGCCGCUCACGUGGCACAGCCAACACGCAGGCAGUGGGCAAUGUCAGGAGGAAAGGUGCCCCGUUACGCUCAUUCAUUCUCCUGUCUUUAAUGAAGGCAUUGGGGCACAGCUGGAGCCCCAUCCUGAGAUGUGGAUUGCUGCGGGUUCCUCAUCAGUGGGCUAUGGGGGUCCUGGGAUGGUGAUGGGGGUCCUGUCAGGGACUGUGGGAGUCGGAGAACACAGGAGGGGUCUGAGGCAUAAAGGGAGGUCUGAGCCUCCCUCAAAUCGGAGGGAUCCUUGAAGAACCGUGGGGGACAUGGGGUGCGGCUGGGGACUGUGGGGCUCUGCGAGCUCCCAGGUUGGCGGUGGGGGAGGUGUACCGGGUCAGAGAAAGUACUUGAGGAGCUAUGUGGGUCUGUGGGGGAGAUUGUGGGGGAUAUAGAAUGGAUAUGACAACACAGCCUGCAGGAGCAGAAUGCUGUUCAGGAGAAGACAAGAUGUGGGCUGCAAGAGGGACGCGGGAGUAUGGGGUGCUAUGGGAGGAUGUGGGGAGCAGUUUGAGGUAAAAAAAAAAAAGGGGGGGAAGGGGGCAGCGGUGUAGGAGGGGUUUCAUUUCUUCCUGAGAGGGGACUGGGGGUCCAUGCAGCCCAAAGGUGGGGCCCUGAGCCGUAACCCCACACGAGCCAUAAGCCAAGAUGAUCUCAUCACCCUGUAUGUGCGUGACCCCAUGGCUAUACGUGACC